AUAGUACGAAGGUUGUUUACUAGUAUCUCCCAAAAAAGUAGAAACUAGACAUUGGAGUAUGAUGUAAUGGUU
rnacentral:tRNA from 1 species